GGUCGGUGCCGGCUCCGGGUCCGUCUCCGGGAGGGUCGGUGCCGGGUCCGGGCCUGGGUCCAUCCCCGGGAGGGUCGGUGCCGGGUCCGGGUCCAUCCCCGGGAGGGUCGGUGCCGGGUCCGGCCCCGGCUCCGUCCCCGGGAGGCUCCUGGGCGCUUUUCCAGCUGACGCUGCUCCCGUCGGGCGCCACGAGGAGCUGGGG